rnacentral:rRNA from 1 species
AGAGUUUGAUCCUGGCUCAGGACGAACGCUGGCGGCGUGCCUAAUACAUGCAAGUCGAGCGCGGGAAGCAAGCCGAUCUUCUUCGGGAGAGACGCUUGUGGAACGAGCGGCGGACGGGUGAGUAACACGUAGGCAACCUGCCUGUAAGUUUGGGAUAACUCCGGGAAACCGGGGCUAAUACCGAAUAGGCAUCAAGCGUGCAUGCGCUUGAUGUGAAAGACGGGAAUCUGUCGCUUACAGAUGGGCCUGCGGCGCAUUAGCUAGUUGGUGGGGUAACGGCUCACCAAGGCGACGAUGCGUAGCCGACCUGAGAGGGUGAUCGGCCACACUGGGACUGAGACACGGCCCAGACUCCUACGGGAGGCAGCAGUAGGGAAUCUUCCGCAAUGGACGCAAGUCUGACGGAGCAACGCCGCGUGAGCGAGGAAGGUCUUCGGAUCGUAAAGCUCUGUUGUGAGGGAAGAAAAGGUAUAGGAGUAACUGUCUAUACAUUGACGGUACCUCACGAGAAAGCCCCGGCUAACUACGUGCCAGCAGCCGCGGUAAUACGUAGGGGGCGAGCGUUGUCCGGAAUUAUUGGGCGUAAAGCGCGCGCAGGCGGUUCUUUAAGUCUGAUGUGAAAGCCCUCGGCUUAACCGAGGAGGGUCAUUGGAAACUGGAGGACUUGAGUGCAGAAGAGGAGAGUGGAAUUCCACGUGUAGCGGUGAAAUGCGUAGAGAUGUGGAGGAACACCAGUGGCGAAGGCGGCUCUCUGGUCUGUAACUGACGCUGAGGCGCGAAAGCGUGGGGAGCAAACAGGA